rnacentral:rRNA from 1 species
CCCUUAGAUGUUCUGGGCUGCACGCGCGCUACACUGAUGCACUCAACGAGUUUACGACCUUGCCCGAUAGGGUUGGGUAAUCUUUUUAAAAUGCAUCGUGAUGGGGAUAGAUUAUUGCAAUUAUUAAUCUUCAACGAGGAAUUCCUAGUAAGCGCAAGUCAUCAGCUUGCGUCGAUUACGUCCCUGCCCUUUGUACACACCGCCCGUCGCUCCUACCGAUUGGGUGUGCUGGUGAAAUGUUCGGAUCGGCCGUUUGUCGCGGUUUCCGCGUCAUGUGGCUGAGAAGUUCAUUAAACCCUCCCACCUAGAGGAAGGAGAAGUCGUAACA